GCGGCUGUAGCUCAGUGGUAGAGCGCCACCUUGCCAAGGUGGAUGUCGAGGGUUCAAGUCCCUUCAGCCGCUCCA
rnacentral:tRNA from 1 species